GGACACGCAGAGGUGACAGCCGUGGGACAGGCGGGUGGGAGCUCACAGGAAGAGCUGAAACCCCUGGAGAGCCAGGGCUGCCAGGGGGGGAUGGUGACCGGUGCCUGCUAAAUUUAGCCCCCACUGAUGAAAAAAAAAAAAAAAAAAAAAAAAAAAUUUUUUUGCAAGCUCCAAAUUUAGCCGGAUGCAGCUCGCACUGAGCACCACUCCAUCGCUGCCUGCACCCCUUCAGCCCCGGCAGCAUGGAGUGGCAUUGUCCCUUUGAGUCCCCAGAGGGCCACAGCUGGCCAGGAAUGACCCCCAGGCAGGCCAGGAGCAGCUGAGGAGUUCAUGACCAUCUUUAUUGGAGGCAAGGCCACAGCAGCCGGGCGCACACGGCAGGACACGCGACGGACACCACUCCAUGCACCACCACGGGACACACGGACACACACAGGGACUGGCCGAGCCCCUGGGGCUCCAGCUGGGGCUCCCCAGUGCCCAGGGGCUCGUUUGGGGGCUCGGUUCCACCCCGUGCCCUUGGGAGCUGGGCUGGACUGGGAGGCACUGGGGAAUGGGGGGAUAAAGGCUUCAGGUGCCCCCCAGCUGCAAUGGCUUCAUCCUCCCUGCACCAGGGACAGCUGGCACGGAGCCCAGCCCCUGACCUUUCCACCAUCAGGGUAAGGAGGUGGGAGCUGCAAUCCCAGCCCCUCCUGGGCUCAGGAGCUUUGCUCCAUCAGGGUGAGGAGCAGGUGGGAGCAGGCAGGCCUGCUGGCCCAGGCCUUUGGCAGUGUGGGAGCAGAUGGAGCCCCUGGGGCAGGGAUCACCUCCCUGGCCACCAAAGGGGUGUCUGGCUGGAGCCUGGCAGUGCUGCUGCUGGUGUGUCACUGUCCCAUGGCCCAGAGUGUGGCCCUGGGCUCGCUGUGCCCUGCAGGACGUGCUGAGUGCUCAGCCCUGAUUCCAGCCCAAGGCAGCAGGGACAGGCUCAGUGCCCUCCCAGCUCUGCCAGCACAGCCCAGCAGAGCCCCCAGGGCUGCUCUCUGCCCAGAGCCCAGCAAACUGUGACGGGGACAAGGGGCAGGGAAACCACAGCUCACUGCCCAUGCACUGCUGAUCCCCAUCUGGGACAAAACCCUGCCUUGAGGGCAGGGAAACAGAACCAAACCUGCUGGCCUGGUGUGCUGCCAUCCCCCAGAUUGUCACCC
rnacentral:lncRNA from 1 species